rnacentral:rRNA from 1 species
GAUCAUGGCUCAGGACGAACGCUGGCGGUGUGCUUCACACAUGCAAGUCGAACGAGGUAGCAAUACCUAGUGGCGGACGGGUGAGUAACGCGUGGGAAUCUGCCUUUAGAUGGGGGAUAACGGGUCGAAAGACUCUCUAAUACCGCAUAUGACGAAAGUUGAAAGGAGUAAUCCGUCUAAAGAUGAGCCCGCGUCCGAUUAGCUAGUUGGUAGAGUAAAAGCCUACCAAGGCGACGAUCGGUAGCUGGUCUGAGAGGAUGAUCAGCCACAAUGGGACUGAGACACGGCCCAUACUCCUACGGGAGGCAGCAGUGGGGAAUUUUACGCAAUGGGCGAAAGCCUGACGUAGCGACACCGCGUGAGCGAAGAAGCCCCUUGGGGUGUAAAGCUCUGUCAGCUGGAACGAAAAAAUGACGGUACCAGCAGAGGAAGCAUCGGCUAACUACGUG